rnacentral:rRNA from 1 species
AUUGAACGCUGGCGGCAGGCCUAACACAUGCAAGUCGAGCGAGCGGCGGACGGGUGAGUAAUGUAUGGGGACUGCCCGAUAGAGGGGGAUAACUACUGGAAACGGUGGCUAAUACCGCAUACUAUCGGAUAACCCAUAUGGGAUUAGCUAGUAGGUGGGGUAAAGGCUCACCUAGGCGACGAUCUCUAGCUGGUCUGAGAGGAUGAUCAGCCACACUGUGACUGGGAAACGGCCCAGACUCCUACGGGGGCAGCAGUGGGGAAUUUGGCACAAUGGGCGCAAGCCUGAUGCAGCGACGCCGCGUGAGGGAUGAAGGCCUUCGGGUUGUAAACCUUUGUCGCUCAGGGUCGGGUAGUGGGUAAAGAAGCGCCGGCUAACUACGUGCCAGCCGCCGCGGUAAUAC